CCUACGGGGGCAGCAGUGAGGAAUAUUGGUCAAUGGGCGCGAGCCUGAACCAGCCAAGUCGCGUGAGGGAAGACGGUCCUAUGGAUUGUAAACCUCUUUUGUCGGGGAGCAAAAGACGCCACCCGUGGCGUUCCGAGAGUACCCGAAGAAAAAGCAUCGGCUAACUCCGUGCCAGCAGCCGCGGUAAUACGGAGGAAGCGAACGUUAUCCGGAUUUAUUGGGGUUAAAGGGGGCGCAGGCGGAAGAUCAAGGCAGCGGUAAAAUUGAGAGGCUCAACCUCUUCGAGCCGUUGAAACUGGGUUUCUUGAGUGAGUGAGAAGUAUGCAGAAUGCGUGGUGUAGCGGUGAAAUGCAUAGAUAUCACGCAGAACUCCGAUUGCGAAGGCAGCAUACCGGCGCUCAACUGACGCUCAUGCACGAAAGUGUGGGUAUCGAACAGGAUUAGAUACCCUAGUAGUC
rnacentral:rRNA from 1 species